GCACUGUUAGUCGAAAUGUUCGUCAUUAAACGGGCUCCACAAAAGUGCAACGUAAACUGAAAACCUGAAUUGGAAGUAGCUUCAUUUCCGUAUAUAAGCUGUUUCUUGUACAAGAACACUUAUCUUUGACUCAUAAAUAAGGCUUAAAAAUCCAAGGGAUAUUUUCUUAUUAUUUUGGUCUAAUUUAGGAAUUAUCUUUUUAAAAAUGGCUGCUAUGUUUCAAAAAUAAAAGCAACUCUUUCGUUAUGUAGUUCAAGGCUAGUGUAAAGAAGCUUUUGCGGCUUCAAGUCUUAUCUCUAUGGGUGCGAUUUUUCACGGUUAAGUAGUUCAGUGGACGGAAAAUGCAGCUGAUCAGGAAAUGUACUCUGUUUUUCUUGCUUUCGAGUAUUUUCUGGAUUCUGCUUGUACCAGGUUUUCCUCAAGAAGGGAGUGCAAGUGAUAUCACCGGAAAGAAAAACCAUACGGGAUUAUGGAAUAACGCAACUUCUCUGGUUAAAAAAUAUUAUGGCACAUUUGUAAACAGUAUGAAUACCGAUCUAUGGUUAUCUGUACUCAUCACAUUUUGUGUUAUAUUUGUUGCAUGUUCAGUUGUAUACACUUUUUCUUAUACCAUUUCUCAGUUUUUCUUGCAUCUCAGCAAAUGCUGCCAAAAAAAAUAAAAAUUAUAUAGCUUACAAA
rnacentral:misc_RNA from 1 species